rnacentral:misc_RNA from 1 species
AAAUGUGGACCUGCGAUGCGAAUCCAAACAAUCCAGCCUUUGUGUUUUUUUGCUUUUCAAGUGAACAUUCAAUUGCAAUCGAGACACGUGUUUAACAAUUGGCUUUAAUAAUGAAGAUUAAGAGAGAUUUUUUUGUUCAUUAAUAUCGCAUAUGUGAUCUUUCAUCGGAUCGCGUUUUAAUAAAAUCGAAGGAAAAAUAAAAAUAACAACAAAGAUAGUCUCUAAGCGUCUUAAAUCAAUGAUGAUGAUAGGGUAGUGAAAUUUUUUAUAAUACACGUUUCAGAAAUCGAAUCAAUCCAUUAAAAGUUGUUGAAGUAGAUUAGAUGGUGGCCGUGUUAGAAUCAUGGGCUUACGAGCCUAAGUGGCCAUGUAUAGUAUGUAACUUCGUACUUUGUUUGUGCAGUGAUCACCGGAUUGUAGAAAGAUUUAUCCAUUUGUUUUUUACUACUCUCGACUCAAAAAAAAUUUUGAGAAAUUACGUGUGGAAGUCCAACUGUAGGGCUCCUUUAUAUUUUAUCAACACUGGCAAGCGCAAUGUGGCAAAGUGGAGGUAUGGGUACCCAUGUGGUAAACAAUCCCUGGAUGAAGCUUAUGGGGAUUGUACACAAAGAACGCAGGCAUCACGAUACAGCUGGAACUAUAAAUAUCCAAGGAACAGUAACCAUUGGGAUAGGCGAUCGGGGACAAACUCAAUCAUUACCAAAGUUAAGCAGCCAAGACGAUGAUGGACCAAAUUCUCACACUCACUACAUAGGAGUAGCACAUUUUGAACCGAUUCCACAUGAUCAUGAUUUUUGUGGAAGAGUUGUAAUUAAUGUUAGCGGAUUACGAUUUGAGACACAACUGCGCACACUGAACCAGUUUCCGGAUACAUUACUAGGUGACCCUUCAAGGCGCAUUCGGUACUUCGAUCCAUUACGCAACGAAUAUUUUUUCGAUCGAAACCGACCUUCGUUCGAUGCAAUUCUUUAUUAUUAUCAAAGCGGAGGACGACUUCGACGGCCAGUGAAUGUACCGCUCGACGUCUUUUCCGAAGAAAUCAAAUUUUAUGAAUUAGGAGAAUCUGCUACAAAUAAAUUCAGAGAGGAUGAAGGAUUCAUUAAAGAAGAGGAGAAACCUUUACCAUCGCAUGAACUGCAAAGAAAAGUUUGGCUAUUAUUUGAAUAUCCAGAAAGUUCUCAAGGCGCGCGGGUUGUUGCUAUAAUCUCAGUGUUUGUUAUUUUGUUAUCAAUUGUCAUUUUUUGUUUGGAAACACUUCCCGAGUUUAAGCAUUAUAAAGUGUUCAAUACGACGACCAAUGGCACCAAAAUAGAAGAGGAUGAAGUUCCGGACAUUACUGAUCCGUUUUUUUUGAUAGAAACUAUAUGUAUUAUUUGGUUUACAUUCGAGUUAUCAGUGCGCUUCCUUGCCUGCCCGAAUAAAUUGAAUUUCUUUCGUGAUUUGAUGAACUUCAUAGACAUAAUCGCUAUAAUUCCAUACUUUAUAACGCUAGGUACUGUAAUCGCUGGAAAGGAGCAUGAAUUUGAUCUCCCAAAAGCACCAGUUAGUCCCCAAGAUAAAAGUACAAAUCAAGCUAUGUCACUAGCGAUUUUAAGAGUGAUUAGACUAGUCAGAGUAUUUCGAAUAUUUAAGCUAUCGAGACAUAGCAAGGGUCUCCAAAUACUUGGAAGAACUUUGAAAGCUUCAAUGCGAGAACUUGGACUGCUCAUAUUUUUUCUUUUUAUAGGUGUAGUCCUUUUCUCAUCAGCAGUUUACUUCGCUGAAGCAGGUUCCGAAAAUUCAUUCUUCAAAUCCAUUCCAGAUGCUUUCUGGUGGGCCGUCGUCACGAUGACUACUGUGGGCUACGGUGAUAUGACGUAUGAUACCUGUUGGUGUGUGGGGAAAAAUCGUUGGAUCACUAUGUGCCAUUGCUGGAGUUUUGACAAUAGCUCUGCCGGUUCCAGUCAUUGUCUCGAAUUUCAAUUACUUUUAUCAUCGAGAGACUGAUCAAGAGGAGAUGCAAUCGCAAAACUUCAACCAUGUUACCAGCUGUCCAUAUCUUCCUGGCACUUUAGUACGGGACCUACGUGGAGGAAUGGUGCGACUUCUGAAACCAAGGGACUCGUGAGAAGGGGAAAAUUCUUAGCCAAACGAGGGUGAAUUGGCUUAGAGUUUCCCCCGACUUAGAAAAUUGAAACAAGGGAGUCACGCCCAGGUUUUUCCAAGAGAACCCAACUAAGAGUCAAAAAGAAAAAGAUUCAGUCAGUCGACGUGAAGCAUUGAAAGUUCUUUUUCAGGAUUAGCUCCAUCUACUCGGAAACCUCGUAACCUCACAUUCAUAGACUCAGGGUUGGGACCUUCAGGAUUUCCUGGAAUUUCCGACGACGAAAAUCCUGAAAAUUCGCGCCCAGUCACUCCUGCCGUCGUUGAUCAGGCUCCUCAAGUAAAAAAUCCAGUGAAUAAUCAGGUACCCCCAGAAAUCAUUCCUCCGGCUGUCAAUCCAGCUGUCCCAGUUGUAAAUCAAGUUGAUAAUAAUCAAGUUGCUUCAGAUUAUGAAGACGAAAUGGUGCUACCUACUAAUCAAAACAUUUCGUUAAGCGACGCGUUGUUCUACAUUUCUCGGUUUGAAGGACUUCCGAGCGAUCUGAUAGAUUUUUCCACAUGCUGUCGCGAUGCUAAAGGAUGCUUCCCGAUACUGCGG